rnacentral:sRNA from 1 species
CUGCGCACCGCCUCUCUUCCUUUCUGGGCUCGGACCUAGGUCGCGGCGACAUGGCCAAACGUACCAAGAAAGUCGGGAUCGUCGGUAAAUACGGGACCCGCUAUGGGGCCUCCCUCCGGAAAAUGGUGAAGAAAAUUGAAAUCAGCCAGCACGCCAAGUACACUUGCUCUUUCUGUGGCAAAACCAAGAUGAAGAGACGAGCUGUGGGGAUCUGGCACUGUGGUUCCUGCAUGAAGACAGUGGCUGGCGGUGCCUGGACGUACAAGUGAGUCUAUUUCCUUGUGGUAUUUGGAAGUGUGUGGACCACAUAGGCCCAAAUUCCAGGUUGCUGCUGGAUGGGCUAGUUUUAACACUUUCUCAGGACUGAGAGAAUAAGGAUGCCUUUGUAUUUUCAGGAUUCUUCCUUGGUGGUUUAUUUUCAGUUAUUGAAAGAGUAAACACAAAACUACCAAAAUAGAAGUCGGAAAUCUAAUUCACAGACUACUUUAGAAUUUGAUGGUCACUGGGCACAUUGUUGUGAACAUUGUCAUGAUACUGUGCAGGUCCAUUAGUGGGGCUGAAUCUACUGAACGUUGAUUUGCACUGCAAGUUUUGAUAAAAAUAGGUGAAGGGGUCAGUUAGUUCAAAACUGUAUUUGGAACUUGAGGCCAUCAGGACCACCACAGUUUCGUCUUUCUGAACAGUAUUAGACUGCUGCAGGUUUGUGAAUCUGCAACUCAGUAUCACCUGACAGGGCAAUACUACAAACACUAUACUACAAACUAGCGUCUAGACCUGUGUUGUCCAAUACACUAAGCACAUAUAUGGCUAGUGUAAUUAAAGAAUUGGAUUUUAAAGUUUCAGUCAAUUUAAAGUUAAACCGAAGCAGUGGAAAAUGUUGAAAUAUAUAUAUAUUCCUUGUGGGGGUUUUUAUUAGGGCAGAAUGGAAAAUGGGAACUAGAGUGCUUUCUUGGUUCUGAUAGGAAAGUGAAUUAUUUAUAUACUUACAAUACAGGAUGGUGAUUUUCAGGUAUAGUUCCUGAAUUCUGUGGUAAAACUUUUGUAGUCAUUUCAAUAGCUGUCUUUCCCAAAGGCACUUUAGUGUCCGCUCUAUUUCCUUAAUCAUCGUUCUCACUGUAUCAUCUUGUAAUUUAUUCAUUUCUUGUAAUCUGUCCAUUCCCUUUUAAUAAGUUUAGGUCAGCCUCUUAGAACCAUUUCUUUUUCAUGGGAUGGGGUAGGGGGAGUUAAAGCUUGCUUGUCCACAACUGAGUUACUUUAAAAAAAAAAAAGCAACUCUGGUUGAGAAAUCAGAUGCAUGAGAUUGUAUGUCUAAUUCUGCAAGAUCCUGAAGGCAUGGCUCUUAAAGGAUGCCAUCAUGUAGUUUAGAAGCCACUAAUUUCCGAGGAGUAAUCUAAUGUUGGUUAGAUCUUUGGAUUGACUGCAGCAAAGUAUUGGUAGAGCAGUCUAUCUCAGUAUAAUUCUUUCUAGGAAAAUUUGGGAAGCGACUUUAACACAAAAACGAGGCAGAUUUACUUAUUUGCCAUUUUCUAUGUUAACAUGCUUAAUUAUGUUGGAAACUGAAUCUUUCUUUCCAGUACCACUUCCGCUGUCACGGUAAAGUCCGCCAUCAGAAGACUGAAGGAGUUGAAAGACCAGUAGACGCUCCUCUACUCUUUGAGACAUCACUGGCCUAUAAUAAAUGGGUUAAUUUAUGUAACAAAA